CCAAUAGCGUAUAUUAAAGUUGUUGCAGUUAAAAAGCUCGUAGUUGAAUUUCGGGAUUAGUACGUUGGUCAUGCCUUAGGUACGUACUGGUGUUACUGGUUCCUACCUUCUGACGAACCAUCAUGUCAUUAAUUUGGUGUGGCGGGGAAUCAGGACUGUUACUUUGAAAAAAUUAGAGUGUUUAAAGCAGGCUCGCGCUUGAAUACAUUAGCAUGGAAUAAUGAAAUAGGACGUUGACCCUAUUUUGUUGGUUUCUAGGAUUGACGUAAUGAUUAAUAGGGAUAGUUGGGGGCAUUAGUAUUCAAUUGUCAGAGGUGAAAUUCUUGGAUUUAUUGAAGACUAACUACUGCGAAAGCAUUUGCCAAGGAUGUUUUCAUUAAUCAAGAACGAAAGUUAGGGGAUCGAAGACGAUCAGAUACCGUCGUAGUCUUAACCAUAAACUAUGCCGACUAGGGAUCGGAUGAUGUUAUUUUUAAUGACUCAUUCGGCGCCUUACG
rnacentral:misc_RNA from 1 species